rnacentral:lncRNA from 1 species
CAUUUCUUGGGCUGCUCGCGCGGCAUAUGGGAGGUUCCCAGGCUAGGGGUCUAAUCGGAGUUGUAGUUGCCAGCCUACGCCGGAGCCACAACAUCACGGGAUCCGAGCCGCGUCUGCGACCUACACCACAGCUCAUGGCAACGCCGGAUCAUUAACCCACUGAGCAAGGGCAGGGAUCGAACCCGCAACCUCAUGGUUCCUAGUCGGAUUCAUUAACCACUGCGCCAUGAUGGGAACUCCCUAGAGGAAGGUUUUGAAGUGGACUUGAAACUUUGACCUCAGUGGAAGGGCACCAGUACUGGUACUGGUGUGGCAGGAUGAGGCUGGUUCUAUGAGUGUGGGGGAAGAUACCCAAACUGGAUUCAGCUGCUGCUCCAGGAAGGUGCUGCCAGAGGUGAAGAAGCAUUUCUAAGAUGUUGUUCAAUUAGGACUAGGGAACAUACUGGAAGUAAACUGGAAGGAAAUAAGAUUGAGCAAUUGCCCCCCACCCCCCACCCCCCCAGCCUCACUUUCUCCCUCUUGUGUACCCCAGAAAAGGAGUUUGGUUGCAGUUCCAAUCCUCACAUCAUGGAGUAAGCUAUAGCAUGGUAGGUUUGGAGCUGAGAAGCAACAGCUUAAUAGCUGGCACACCUACUUGUGUGCUAAGCAGUGUGCUAAGCUUUAUAGGAUGGACAGGGAUGGAGAAGGUAGUGUUUGUCUUCAAGGAGCUUUCACUUUCACAGGGCAGAAAAAACAUGUGCAUCAAUAGCGCUAAUAAAAAUUGAGAUGAGCUAUUGCUGUCCCAGGAGUAUGAAAACAGAAUGUUGUGGGUGGUCAGAAGGAGGAUAAAUCACUUUCAGGUGGGGUUUGGAGAAACUUCUUUGGGAGAAGUUGUUUUUCAACUGGUGAUCACUUCUUCUUUCUGGAAUCCUCUGAGAGGGCUCUCCUCUUUUCAGAAAGGCUUCCCUGAUUCCCAAAACAAAUGGAUGUUUCUUCCCUUGUAUCUCCAUGGAAGUCUUAACCUCCAACACUUAUUAUGUAUCAGAUAUGUACUGGCCUAAGCACCAAGAAAGUAUUACUGCUUUUGAUCUUCACAGUAACCCUAUGAAGUUGAUCCGGUUAUCCUCCCACUGUAUUAAGGAGUAGGCAGUGCAUAACUACUUUAUGGGUGUAAAAUGCUCCAGAUUUUGAUAGUAAAAGUGCCCUAGAUUCUGAUUUAGGUGAUCUGACUCCAUAACUUGUGCACUGACCUAUCAUAUCAGACUGCUUUUCCAAUAAAGUCUAUUUACAUCUUCAUUAAAGAACUUCACUAUAUGGUUGUUAUUUAUAUAUGUGUGUCUCCCCUGGGUUACUUUUAGGAGGUAUUAUUCAAAUUCGUAAAAGUGGUAGGACCAGUGUUUGGUUCUAGUUAGUUCCUCUGUUUUCUGAGUGAAUGAAUAUGGUUGCUUCCAUCGUGCUUGGCGUUGUAGGAGGGAAAUUAACAUGGUGGUUACACGUAGGAGACUCAAAGGUCUCCUAGGGGAGUGUAUGUCAUUGUUCCACUAGGACAGCAGGGAUCAUUAAGUGUUUAGAAUAGAGGGAAUUAAAUGCAGAGAAUUAGUCACACAGGUUUUGGAGAGGCUAGGAAGUCAAAGGAUCACAUGGCAACCUUGAUAUUAGCAAUGGUAGGAAGCCCUUACUGGGCAGGAGGGACACGUGGAGGCAGUGGAGACUGAAACCAUGCCAGACCUGUGCAGAGAUCUUGAUGCUGGCCAUUCAGCCUGAGUCAGAGAGGGAGCAUGAUCUACCCUGCUUCUCUUUUUUCCUGUCUUCUAGUCUCUUUCCAUUACUUUGUACCAACUUUCACAGGUGUCUGGAAACAGCCUGCAAGAGCCAUUGUCCGUGCAAUAUAGAGCAGAGCAAAUAGGGGAUGCAAACUAGAACUGAGGCCAGACAAAUCCAGAAGUGGCACACAUAGUGGCACAUGUCUCAUCAGCAAAUGUGGGUUGAAACUGUAGUAGACUACAAGAAUGAUCUCUCAAAAGGUACCAGCUCUCUUUCUCCUCUGGAUUUGAAUCAGGGCUGGUUUUGAGCUUGGGUUUGGUCAUUGGAGAGUAGUGAGUGGAAUGCAAGCAGAGGAUCAAAAACAGUGUGCACAUUAGGACCUGCCCUCCCUUAUGGCACAUAGAGCCCUGAGGUUGCCGGGUGAGGGAGCCUGAGCUAGCCUCUGGGUAAUGGGAGGCUGCAUGGAUGAGAGCCCAGAUACCCUGGCCAGCCUCCAUCUGACCCAACAGCUGACCUAGCAGCUGACUUCAGACAUCUCAGUGAAGCCCAGGUGAAAUCAGUUGAGCUCAGCCCAAGUCUCUGACCUACAGAUUUAUAAACUACAUAAAUGAUUGUUCUGAGCUACCAAGUUUUGGAGUAGUUUGUUAUGCAGCAAAGCUAACUGAUAGAUAAUCCCAGCUCUGCCACUUACUAGUUACGUUAUAUUGUGCAAAUUGUUUCAUCUUGAAGCCUUAUGUUCUUUCUUUGUGACAUGGGGAUAAAUAAUAACACAUCAUAGGACAAUUGGGAAGAUUUAGUGAAAAAAAAUGCAUGUAAAAUAGAGACAUGGUGCCAGGUACAUGAUGAGUGCUCAAUAAACUGUAGCUUUUAUGAUGACGAUUUGAGGCCAUUCUAGCCUGUCUGCUUUGUCUAAUUGUUGACGCUCUGUAUGUGGGAAAAUGAUGAGGUUAUUGCUUAACAGGGCACAAAUGUUUUAUUAAGAAGCUGCCUUAAUUUUCCUGCUGGCAUGAGGCAAAUGAAGAGGGCAGAUAUUUUGUUAAUUAAAAUUUUAAAAGGACAUAAUUCUCUCUUUGGAAGGAGUAUAUGUAAGUCUGCAAAGCUAAAUCUCUGAAACAGAAGAUAUUCACAAAGGUAUGGCUUGAAUAACAAUUAUGAUGCACACAGAACGUACGUUUGUGUUAGAGAUGUUGUGGAUAAGAUUAUGUCCGAAGGUGCAAGAUAAUAAAUAGCUGAAACUCAUUCGUUCACAUAAAAUCGAUGUGCAUUGCCAUAUUCCAGAUGCUUGAUUGUGGUUCUUCAAUAAUGAGUUGCCAAUUCCUUUCUCUAGAGAAGGAUUAACAGAUUGCAAUGCAAUCUGUUGGUGUUCUUUGAUGGAGAUUCUCAGUCACUGCCACCACCAAGGAGUUUGGGAUCCUAAACACAGAGGCUUUUCUGAGGGAACUGUGUGUCAGUGCUGGGUGUUGCAGCCAUUCCUAUUAAAUAGGAAAUAUAAACUAUCAGCUAAAGAGUGAGAUUUGAGGAGCUUCAAAAAGGGAGCAGAAACUGGCGAAGAAUAUCACAGAGAGGAGCCAACAAUUAAAUUACAGUGUAUGUUUUACAGAACAAGAUGUCUUCACAAGAAACAAAGGAAAGCUGAUAAAAAUGAGUUAUGGGGGAUUAAAAGACCAUAAAACCUCGAGUUAGUUGGAAGUUGUAUCUUUAAAUCCUUGGGCAGAGAUGAGGCUGUGGAGAAAAAGUUUGGUGUGGCGAGCAAGUUAAGAUUUCCUCUGAGAUGUGUAAGAAGGAUCACAAGGGGUGGAGUAAGCUCACGGGUCAUGAUGCUGCUGAUUUCUGGGUAGUAAAUUUCGUUGCUUUCAGUUGAUUUUUAGAUCUAAUUCACUCAAGUUAUGGAAAUAGUACAUGCUCAUAGCCAAAAGUAUGGCACAGUGGUUAAGAUCUGGAAUCAACCUGCCUGUGCUCAGAUCCUUCAUGGCUGUGGGAUUUGAAGAAAGUUCACCUCUCUAAGCCUUAUGUAUAUAAAGGGUAAUGGCUUUUUUAUGUUGUUGUUUUUUGGCUUUUUGGCUUUUCUAGGGCUGCUCCUGCAGCAUAUGGAGGUUCCCAGGCUAGGGGUCUAAUCGGAGCUGUAGCCGCUGGCCUACGCCAGAGCCACAGCAAUGCGGGAUCUGAGCCGAGUCUGUGACCUACACCACAGCUCACGGCAACACCGGAUCGUUAACCCACUGAGCAAGGCCAGGGAUCAAACCCGCAACCUCAUGGUUCCUGGUUGGAUUCGUUAACACUGCGCCACGAGGGGAAAUCCUAAAGGUGCCUGCCAAAUAGCACCCACAAAUACUAGUUAUUGGGGAAAAGUUGGAAGAGACAGCAAAGUUGAUAAAUAAGAAAAAAAUACCCCCUAUCACUCAGGAAGCAAUUACCGUUAAUAUUUUGAUGUAUUUUCUUUUGGAAUUCAUGUCUUUUUAAAAGGAUAUUGGUAAACUCACAUAAGCUCAGAGAAGACUGGCAUAUCUACUACUCAGGAGAAUUUCUUUAGGGAGAAAAUGUAAAGUGAGAUAGGUUAAUUCAAAUGAAAACAAUUUUUAUACUAUAGCAGGUAGGUUUUUUAAAAGAAGGUUAUAAGGUUAUAAAUUCAGAGGAUUCAUUGGAAUUAAAGAAUGGUUUUUAUAAACUCAUAGAAAAGCUGGUUUUGAACAUCUGUCAUUUUGUAAAAUGUGGAUAAUAUCCAGUGUGGUUGAGAGGGUGGGGAAAUAGAUGUGUUUAUUUUAUUUUAUUUAUUUAAUUUAAUUUUAAUUUUAUUUUUUUGCUCUUUAGGACUGCACCUGCAGCAUAUGAAAGUUCCCAAGCUAGGGGGUGAAUUGGAGCUACAUGCUACAGGUGCCAGCCUAGGCCACAGCCACAGCAACGUGGGAUCUGAGCUGCAUCUGUGACCUACAGCACAGCUCACAGCAAUUCUGGAGCCUUAACCCACCAAGCAAGGCCAGGGAUCAAACCUGCAUCCUCAUGGGUAUUAGUUGGGCUUGUUAGCACUGAGCCACAAUGGGAACU